CAGAGGCCUCAAGCGUUAGGCGGAAUCACUGGGCUUAAAGCGUGUGUAGGCGGAUGUCUAAGUGCUCUGUGAAAUCCCACGGCUCAACCGUGGAACUGCUUGGCAUACUGGACGUCUUGAGCCAUCCAGGGGUCGCUGGAACAAACGGUGGAGCGGUGAAAUGCGUAGAUAUCGUUUGGAACGCCAAAGGUGAAGACAGGCGACUGGGGAUGUGCUGACGCUGAGACACGAAAGCCAGGGGAGCAAACGGGAUUAGAUACCCCGGUAGUCCUGGCCCUAAACGAUGUCCACUAGAUUAUGGCGCCUUUGACGGCGUCAUGGUCGAAGCAAAAGUGUUAAGUGGACCGCCUGGGAAGUACGGUCGCAAGGCUA
rnacentral:rRNA from 1 species